UACGAAGGGGGCUAGCGUUGCUCGGAAUCACUGGGCGUAAAGGGUGCGUAGGCGGGUUUUUAAGUCAGGGGUGAAAUCCUGGAGCUCAACUCCAGAACUGCCUUUGAUACUGAAGAUCUUGAGUUCGGGAGAGGUGAGUGGAACUGCGAGUGUAGAGGUGAAAUUCGUAGAUAUUCGCAAGAACACCAGUGGCGAAGGCGGCUCACUGGCCCGAUACUGACGCUGAGACACGAAAGCGUGGGGAGCAAACAGG
rnacentral:rRNA from 1 species